AGUGUUUUAGGUGAAAAAAUCACUCAAGCCUAACUAAUUAAAAAAAUUACCAUAAGCUUGUAACUAAAUCUAAUCUCCACUACUAAGUAUGAACAUGAUGCAAUAAUCAAGAGGUUUUUAAAAGGGUUGUAAUGGGGCUAAGACUCAGGUAGGAUAAAGGCAAAAAAUAUGAGAAAGGUUAAGUGCAAA